AUUGGUUUAGAGGCUAAAGGUAAUGUUGUUAUGGUGCCCGGAGUGUUCCUUUAAUUUCCUACUAACUGUGUGCGUCUGUUAACUCUUAGCUAUUGGUAUUAAGGACAACAGUCAUGUAAAAUAAGGUGCAUGACUGUUGUGGACAAAGAUACUAACCCAAUCCAUGUUGGUAAAAUGCCUAUUUACUCAGUAUAACUACAAUAAGCAUUAUUCAACUUUAUAUGUGAUUUACCUAAAAAUGGCCGUUAGGGAGUUUCCCUUUGACAUCGACUAACACC